UGAGAGGUGCAGGAGCAGUGAGAGGUGCAGGAGCAGUGAGAGAUGCAGUGAGAGGUGCAGGAGCAGUGAGAGGAGCAGGGGCAGUGAGAGAUGCAGUGAGAGAUGCAGUGAGAGGUGCAGGAGCAGUGAGAGAUGCAGUGAGAGGAUCAG